rnacentral:rRNA from 11 species
UUCCAAGGCCUAAAUACAUGGAAAUCACCAGCUCCUAUCUGAUCUUGGAAGUUAAGCAGAGUCAGACCUGCUUGGUACUUGGAAUAACUAUAGAGCAGUAGUUUUCAACCUGUGGGUCCUCAGGUGUUUUGGCCU